AGAAACAUUUUGUGAUUCUUAAGACCAUUCCUGGAAAAUUUACACCCUGUAUUAUUCAGUUUGCUUUUCAUCUAAUAUGUGGAAUUAAAACAUAAUCGAUUAAGCUCAGACAAGAUUCUGAUUGUCACAGCUGAAUUCAUUUAGUACAUGCCUAGACUCACGCUGGCUCACUGCUCAGAGAACAGAUGCACAUCCAUUAUUAAUCGUUGACUAUUGCAGUCAUCAUCUCAUCAUUGGGGUAGAAGUACAUGUUGCUGUGACUAGAGAGAAGUGCAAUGUUCCUCGUGUGCAAAGCCAUCACAUGCAGGAGUUCCAUGGUA
rnacentral:lncRNA from 1 species